AAUAGAUACCCGGGUAGUCCACGCCGUAAACUAUGGUUACUAGGUGUCCGAAGUGUUAACCCUUUGGGUACCGAAGCUCACGCAUUAAGUAACCCGCCUGGGGAGUACGGUCGCAAGACUAAAACUCAAAGGAAUUGACGGGGGGCCCGCACAAGCGGUGGAGUAUGUGGUUUAAUUCGAAGCAACGCGCAGAACCUUACCUGGGUUUGACAUCCCCUGACACUAGCAGAGAUGUUAGCUUCCCUUCGGGGACAGGGUGACAGGUGCUGCAUGGCUGUCGUCAGCUCGUGUCGUAAGAUGUUGGGUUAAGUCCCGCAACGAGCGCAACCCUUAUCCUUAGUUGCCACCAUUAAGUUGGGCACUCUGAGGAGACUACCGGUGUUAAACUGGAGGAAGGCGGGGAUGACGUCAAGUCCUCAUGGCCCCUACAUCCAGGGCUACACACGUACUACAAUGGCAGAGACAAAGGGUCGCAAAGCCGCGAGGUGAAGCUAAAUCCCAAAAAACACUGUCUCAGUCCGGAUUGAAGUCUGCAACUCGACUUCAUGAAG
rnacentral:rRNA from 1 species